rfam:Triticum aestivum genome assembly, contig: Triticum_aestivum_CS42_TGACv1_scaffold_131157_2BL
UUCCUACUCCCUCCGUCCGGAAACACUUGUCAUCAAAAUGAAUAAGAGGGGAUGUAUCUAGACGUAUAUUAGUUUUAGAUACAUUCCUUUUUAUCUAUUUUGAUGACAAGUAUUUUCGGACGGAGGGAGUACAUU